rnacentral:sRNA from 1 species
GUCUCAUCUUCCGGAUAACGAACGUGC